rnacentral:tRNA from 1 species
AACGGUAUAAUUUAUUUAGAAUACUUAUUCUGCAAAUAAGAAGAGAUGAGGUCAUUUACAUCUACUGUUA